rnacentral:ncRNA from 1 species
CUCUCGCGGGAGAGUCUAUUAAAAAGUUUCUUACAGGAAAUUUUUAGAAUGGCGCCGAAGGAGCAACCGCCCCGGAAACUCUCAGGCACACGGACCGCAGAGG